GGGGGCGAUUUGGAUUCGACGACGGAGAUGAAGUCUCAGGUGCAUGCCGAGAGAGAAGUAGCUCUCGUAAAUCAAUUACCUCAAUUCUUAAAUAGUUGCCAAUAACGACAACUACGCUCUAGCUGCUUAAAUAGCAGCUAGUUCUGCCUACUUGAGUGCCUAUGUAGAGUAGGGAGAAUCAUUUCAAUAGGAUCGUAUUGAAGGACUGUCCGAUCCUGCACUACUAAAUUAUUACGGACUCGCAUUACGGUACCGAGUUUUAUCCGGUAGUUGUAAUGUUAAACUGGAAGAUAAGACUAAGCAUGUAGAGCCGAAGAUGGAUUGCCGGCGGACGCGGGUUCGACUCCCGCCGCCUCCACCA
rnacentral:tmRNA from 1 species